CCCGCGCGCCAGACCCCACCCUCCGGCCGCGCCUCCGCCCCUCUGCUCGGCCCCCGCCCCCACCUGGCCACGCACGAACUCCGGGGCGAACUUGGUGGAGGCCCGCGCAGAGCUGCGGGAGCCCACGGAGGAGUCCUGGUCCGCACCUUCCUCCUCCCUCGCCAGACAGCUCUGGAGCCGCCAGGCCCGGGAGGGAAGGGGCCCCAGCGAAGGCCCUGGGUCACACACCGGCCAAGAACCCCCAGUUGUCCUGUGGUGUGCGGUCAGCAUCUCCUGCAGCGUGCAAGAGACGACUAAGCAAGAUGUAGGCAAAGACCCGUGGAAAUGAACUGGAGGCCUAGAGAAAGGAGCUCAAGGCAGGAAAUACUGGAGGUGGGAGCAGAAGGAACCAGCCACGGUCUCUGAUAUGAUGUGGAGGUAAAGACAGGGAAGGGGACAUCGGAGGAGGUGGAAACUGAAACUCGGAAGCCCAGUUAAGGGGUAGAGAGGAACUGGGGUGCCCAGAGGAACUGGGGUGCCCAGGGCAUGAAUUCAGCUCAAGAAGGUUACUGGCUCCCAAGUGGGAAAAGUCCCCAAGGUGGAGUCAAGGUUGAUUGGAGACCCUAUUACAUCAGGACAAGCGGGGCCACAGGGAAGCUACCAGGUGGGCCGAUCUGUCUCUACCGAACCUGCUUUUCACUCUGGUUCCUGUGUACCUCGCUCCCUAAACAUCUACCAGUGAGCUGUCAGGUAAAUAAGCCAGCCACUUCUGGGAAGCUAAGCUGGAGCACAGCUCUGCCCUCAGCUGUGCCCUCCCCACGGAGGCUCCCGCGGCUGCCAGCGGCAGAGGGUCCUGUGGUUGUCGCCUUCACCCCAGACCUCACUGGACCUGAGGGGACGCCGCGGCUGGGCCAAGUUCCCACGGCAUCAGCGUACACUCUUCCGAUAGACCAACUCCCAUGCCUGAUGUCUGUGAAGACACAAGCCUUCCGAAUCCCUCCUUACAUGAGCUCCUCAGUGUCACCCAUGUAGCCCACUUAUCCGUCUUCCUAAGCCAGGGUGGGCUCCUGCCUGGGUACCUGGCGCACACCGCAGCCUUGAAGGUCCAACUCUUGGGACGGCGGUGGAUGGUGACUUUGGAUGUUGUCUUACUUUUCCUAUUGCUGUGACAAAAUAUGUCAACAGAAGCCACUUAAAGCCAAGCUUUAAUCCCAGCACUCGGGAGACAGGACCUUCAUGAGUUUGAGGGCAGCCUGUUCUACCUACCCAGCAAGUUCUAAUAAACCCAGGGAUACAUGGAGAUCUUGUCUCAAAAAAUAAACAAAUAAAAAAAAUAUUUUAAAAAAGAAAAAGGUAAAGAGGUUCAGUUUGCGGUUGGGAGUAGUGACGCUGGGCACUGGAGGACAGAGACCUCAUACCCUCCUGGUUGCAGGCCUCAGAGUGCAGUCCGGACAGAGCCAGAAUACAUGACCAGAGAAACCUGUGUGACCUCAGAGGGCUCCCCCUACCCUUUGGCCAACCUUCUGUAAACCUUGGCCACAUUUGGCUUGGGUAACAACAGUGUUAGCAGACUGGUACACAAAGUACUCUGAGACCUGCAAAACGGUGUUUCUACUGGGAACUGGGGAGAUGACCCUGGAGGACGUGGCCAUCUGCCCUUGAGAGAAGUGAUUCUUCAGGCAGCUGUCAACAUUUGGGGGUUUGUCACCCUGAGGUUCCAGACGAAGCUUGCUGGUAGGCAUCAUCUCCAAGCCUCCAAUCCACUGCCUUCAGGGAUCCAAGCGACCAACUACCCUUUCUCAGGCCAUCCCUCCAUCACACCACGCCUUUGUAUUCUCCCCUUCCUUGAAAGGGCCCCAGUGGAAGACUGGGUGCUCCUGGGCACAGCUGUCCAUUCCAGCAGGCGGCCUGUGUCCUGUGAUGGGAAUCUGCAGUUGAAGACCUUGUAGCAAAAGGCAGGGAAGGUGAUCUGGAAGCAAGGUUGAUGCUUGGACCCCGAAUCCAUCCAUGUUGGGCACAGGUCAUGCCAGACAGCUCCCAAAGGAUAGGGGAGGUGCUAGUGAAGGUGACUAGAGACCUCACCUGCUAUGCUAAUGUAGCCCCCAAGAUGAUUACCCAAGGGCAUCUGACAAACUUUUGGGAAGUCAGGAGGUGGGAGGAAGUCCUAUAUAGGCACCCACAAUUGGGCCUGUGCCUUGGUCCACCCCUCCUCUUGACACAGACCAGGACUUGACUGUCCUGUCCCACCGCCGUUCCAUUUUCAUGAAUGGAACAUAUUUUCUAGGCAAGUGCUCCAGCACUGAGUGACACCCCCAGCCCUCAGAGCUUUCUAUCUUAAGACAUCUAGUGAAGUGAAUCACCCUGGGCUCUCCAAGGAAGAUGGGACUAGGUUACUCCUUGGGCACCACAGCCAGAGUCUGCACCACCCAGUGGCAUGCUGCCCAGGAACUAGAGUGGAUAUAGGGCAGCAGGAGCUGGUGAGUGACAGGGCAGACAUUCUAGAUGUCCUGACCGGGAGAAAGAAAGCUAUUUGACACCUCAGUAGGCAGGUCCUGGUCUCUGGGACCAACAUCCUUUCAGCUUGGGGAGCUUAUCAAAUGUCUGGAGCAGGGCCUCGGUUCCCAUGCCAAGCCCAUCCCCCAGGGCAGCAGACUUGAAAACUGUGCCUCCCUGGAUGCCACUCAGAGAGGCACUGACUGGAGAGGAAAGAAACCCAGACUGUGGCCACAGAAGACACACCACCUUUUGCAGAAUGUUUUAUUUCAUUUCUCAACAAUACUGAGUCAGAAACACACACAGCUACAGGGCAUCUCCUUAUCCUUAGGAUCAGUUCCAGGUAUAUGGUUUCUUGUGUCCCUUGAGAGCUCUCCGGCUGCUCCAGGUCCUGGCUGCAGCUGGAGCUGCUCACCAGACCAUGUGGUUCACAGAAAGAAAGGAGCCAUGAGCUUUGGCCACAGCCAGCAAAGCUGCUAGCCCCAAGGACCUCUUGCAGGAGGGACCUUACUUAACCCAUCAGGGACCAGACUAAGGGGAAGAAGAGGCCAAAUAGAGACACCAGCCCUUCCGAGUUCACAGAGGGUGGGCCUGAUCACCCCCUCAGGUGACAGCAGCCUUUCUGUAGCACUUCUCUUUGUAAUAUAAUUCACAGCUAGAGUUUGCAAAUGCUGGCAGCAGGCUGGCUGGAGAGACAAGAACGGAAAAGGGCAGCUGGUGAACCAGGAGGGCUUGGGAAGGGCCCUACCCUGGAGCCUGGUGUCCAACCCGGGCCUAUGGCCUUCACCGCCCCGGCUCCCCCCAAACACCGGGCACGAGAGUCCUAGUCCUCACUAGAGUUGUCAAACUCCUCCCAGUCCGACACACUCAUCACUUCGGAGGCAAAGUCUGCAUCUGCCUGACUACGGUUGGGGGUCCCUCGGGGUGGCUCACAGAGCAGGGAGCGGGGCAGAGUGAGCACACAGGCUGCAAGGCCUGAGAUGGAGUUGUUCAGCUGGGGCCCUUCUUCCCAGCAGUCUUUCUCCAUGUCGUAGAUGUGCACGUAGCCCAUGCGGGUGCCUCGGUUGUGGGAGCGGCCACCCAGCACAUAUAUCCUGUUGUCUAGGACAGCAAUACCAGGCUCACCAUGCCCCGCCGGGAGUGGGCAGACUGUUGACCACUGCCGAGAUGUGCAGCUGUAGCAAGCCACCUGCAAAGCCAAGGUCAAGGUCAACAAGGCAGCUUCUGAGACAGGCUUCCAGCCACCUCAGUCACUUUGUCACCUGCUCCUCCUAGCCUUGCUCAGCUGUAGGCCAUCACCUUGCCUCCCCAGCCUUCAGCGAAGAGUGCACGAGUCUCCGUGUCCAGUCCUGCUUCUCUCCUGUUCCCAUGGACCCCACGGACAUCUCCCCUCCUUUACAGCACCCCUGCUCACACUCAUGAGCGUGUGUGGAAGCAGUUACUCGCUGACCAAUCAUGACCACCAGCCUUCUUUUCAAAAACAGUCAAGGCAGUAAAAAAGACUUAGAAAAAAAAAAAACACUCAAUCCACUAGUAAUCCAAGAAAUAUAAUACUAAAAACAUCACCA